rnacentral:lncRNA from 10 species
AGGAGUCCCCAUUAACAGGUUGACUCUGCUGCACAACUUGGGAUCAGAAAGUCUGAGUUCACCCCAGCUCUGCUGCUUGUAAGCCAGGUGAUCAAGACAACUGAUGAGAUCAUAGCUGACUGCCAGGGCAGAGGCGUGGCGAUUCCCACACCCACCGUGGAUGUCACAUCUACACAGUGUUCACAUUUCCCUUGCUGGUGCUGCUGGUGUUCCUCCAGAGCCUCUGUGCGCUGCCUACUUUCUAGAUGCUGAACAAAGUCUUCACGCUGGGAAGCCUCGUCCUCAUCCUCCAGCAUCUCCUCCAGGUAGAUUCCCC